AUAUGAGGCCCAACGUCUUUGUCAAAGCCUGAUCUGGUCUGACGUCUGAAGCUAAGCAGGGCUGGGCCUGGUCAGGACUUGGAUGGGAGACCGCUGGGAAUACCAGGUGACACAAUG
rnacentral:rRNA from 1 species